rnacentral:rRNA from 1 species
UACGUAGGGACCAAGCGUUGUCCGGAAUCAUUGGGCGUAAAGGGUGCGCAGGCGGUGGAGCAAGUCUGUUGUGAAAUCUCCCGGCUUAACCGGGAGGGUGCGGCGGAAACUGUUCUGCUGGAGUGAGGGAGAGGCAAGCGGAAUUCCUGGUGUAGCGGUGAAAUGCGUAGAUAUCAGGAGGAACACCCGUGGUGCAGACGGCUUGCUGGACCUCCACUGACGCUGAGGCACGAAAGCGUGGGGAGCAAACAGG